AUGUAACCUAAACAUUUUUUCUUCCCAUAAUAUGCUGAAAUAAAAAUAAAUAACUAAUUAACAAAAAACCCUACUGUCUUCAAAUUUCAGAUCACUAGUACAUUUUGAUUUUUUGCUAUUGAAUUAAAAUUCAAUUUCUUAUAUGAAACCAGAAAUCUCAUGAUAUUUUUAAACCUUACUUAAUGAUGGAAGAUCCAGAGGAAAUGCAGGGGAACAAGGAGUCAAGAGUGCUCUCCUCACACCAACCUUACACCCCUAGUGUAGUAGGGUGUGUCAUCUGCCCUUCCAUAUGACUAGCACAAAUCAACUUCAGAGUAUGUCUUUGGACUGAAAUUAUAGCUACCCAUAUCUCCCUUGCCCUGCCUGGCUCACAAAUCCAUAAUUACAAAUUAAUAAACAUUACCCCCCAACACAUGUUCCUCAUCUUCACCAAAUUCUUAUAAUUUUGCCUGUGCAGUAUUUACAAGGAUAGUGGUGUGUGUAUCUAGCAUUGACAGUGCAAUAAUAAAAAUUGUAGCCAUUUAUAUGGCACUUAUGAUAUGCUAUCCAUUGUUCUAAGUACUUUAUAGAUGUUAUCUCAUUUCAUCCUAACAACAGUCAUUUGUGGUAGAUGCUGUUGUUCUCUUUGUUUUACAGAUGAGAUAACUGAAGUAUACAGAUUAAGUGCUUGCCCAAGGAGCAGGAUGGGAUUGGAACCCAGGCAGUGAAGCUUCAGCAUCUGCGCCUUAACAACUAUCCUAUGUUGCUUCUCUAAACUGUGAUGGGAACUGUGUAACAGAUUCAAGUUUUCGCGUCAGUUUGUUCGACGAAGGAUCACAACGUAGACACUACCGCUUUCUCGCUUCCUCUUCUGUGGUUUCUUGCCUCGAACUUCCCGGACAGACAGGAGUGGAGAGGCAUCAUGACAAUACUGCAUAGAAGGGAAGCUGGGCUUCAGGCUGUGCCUCCUGAGAGUGGUUUGUCCGAGGCUCCAGCAGGAUGUCAGGCUAAACAAUCCAAAUAUUGUUGAGGAGAGAGAUAAGAAGGACUCAUGGAAACCAGGGAACUGUUAAGGAUAUUGGUGGUGAUCCUAACCUGAUAAACUAGGAGAGCUGGAAUUGUUAAUGCUGCCAUUUCCAGUCCCUUCACUAUGCUAAGUGCAUCAACAUGCCUAUAAUCUAUGAGGAUGCUUCCAACAGUUCAACGUGUGGUUAUAUGGAAGAAGAAAGAGAUUUGAACCUGUGGGCUCUAAAGACAGAGCAGGAUCCCAUGGAAGAAAGGGAGGCAGUCUUCAAAUAAAUAAAAGGAAGAAUUCUCUAACAAGGAGGGGCAGUGCAAAGACUGUGGGCUCUGAAGCUCGAUGAACUCAGGUUUGAAUCUUGACUUUGCUCUUAAUCCAUGUGUGCUCAUGGGAAAAUUACUUUCCCUCUCUGCGCCUUAGUUUCCUCUAGGAAAACAGAGAGGAUACUUUCUCAACAGGGCUCUUUGUAGAUUGGAGAUAUCAUCUGUACAGCUCCUAGUAUAAUGCCAAAUACACGGCAACUAUGGGUGGGGAUGCUGGGGAAGGGAACUGGUGUUGGACUCAAGACAUUUGCUAGAAUUGUAGACAAUUAGGGCAGAUUCUAAGUACUAAAAGAAUCCUACUCUGGCAGAACCACUGAUGCUUUGUCUGGAAGCAGCUUGGGAGGGAGGCCUGGCUGCUGCCCUCUUGUUCUUUCCUUUCGGAGGAACUGGACUUCACCCUGUUUUUCUCCUGCUUUUUCUAACUCCCUGACCAAGCUAUUUACCUCCCCAAGAUGCUCUGCUCCUGAGAGAGUGGUGAUAAUGCUGGGAGUCAGGUGUGUUUUCACCUCCCAGCCUGUCCCCAUCAUCGAUUCAGUCUCAAGUCAAACAGUCUCUGGAUUUAGCCUGUUUAAUUUGGCUGAAGGAAAAGGGCCAGCCCUCUGAUGAUCAAAUAUGGGUCACAGAGAGGCUUCUCCUCUACCACAGGCUACGCAAUUAUUUAUUUAAAAAUAAUUAACCAAGGAUAUCCGCAGGAAACAAAAGGCUUCUUUACACGGGAUCGUGGCAGGAGAGAGGCAAGAGACAUUUGUUAGAAUCCAGGCAGCAUAGCCCUAGGCUGCUGUAGUUUUCACACUGUUUUCUUCCCUAACAGAACUUCAUUAUGUAAGAAAUAUAACGGUGGUGGCCUACACCUAUGAACGUUACUUUAAAAGUCUCUGGCUAAGCGAGAGAGCCCUGACUGGCAAUUAGGGGAUCCCUGUUUUAAUCUCAGCUCUGAUAUCCAUUUAUUGGGCAAGCUCCAGCUUUCUCUUCUAAUAAGCAGGAGGACUGCCCGCUGCAGGGAGGGGGCUGUUGUCAUUGCAGUGUCAUGGGGGCUAGGCACAAGGCUGCUCAUCUCCUCCAGGUCCACCUGUAAUCUUUCCCACUGAUACUCCUCUCACCAGGAAUUUGGAAAUUUCUGGCCCCUGAGAGGGUUGCUGUAGUCAGCCAGCCAUCUUUUAUAGGGAUGUGUGUGUGUGUGUGUGUGGGGGGAGCAGAGUACAUCACAAGGUGUCUGCAGGCAAUACACCAAAAAUAGGAGCUCUUGUUAGAGGAAGGAGAGGCUAAGUCCUUGUAUAUUUCACAAACUCAGAAGAGCACUUGAAAUGAGAACAAAAAUGGAGUGCAAAGUGUGUAGGCUUGCCUACACAGGUGACCUGGGUUUAAAUCUUGACUCUACCAUGUAAUAGCUGUGUGACCUUGGGGAAGUUACUUAACCUCCCUGAGCUCCAGUUUCUUUAUUGAUUACAAUAUCCACCUGUUAGGUCAUUGGGAAGAAUGCUAAAUGAGUUAAUGGAUGUGAAAGUACCCAGACCAUGCUUACCAUAGUGUCUUGGCACACAAGGGUUACUCAAAACACACAGUUGCUCCUACUUUGGGACUUUGUCUUAAAGACAUUUUUAGGAAGGCUGAGAUUACAAAACUUUAUAGAGCACCUAUGAUGUACCAGGCACUUGCUAGGGAGUCUGCAUUAAGAAAUGGAUUGGCAUCUUCCCUUCUUCCUUCAUCAUUGCAAGCUCUGAAAAUGACUUAUAUAUAACAAGGGCUCUAGUUUAAUAUUGACUGGCCAAAGAUGGCAAGUUAUUAACCACAGAGGACCCACAGGAGAAAUGACAAUGGCAAAUGGUAACCAUUCACCUUCCACUGGUUUCUUAGCUCAAGCCACUAAUUGGCCCCGAUCCCCAUCAUUGGCCCUAUGAACCACAGCAAGUAUGUCUAGCAGUAAAAGAUAUCCCAGAUGGAGUCCAGGGACAUCCCUGAGGCCCUGGUUAGGAGGUCAUCUACUUUCUCUUGUUCCCAGGUCUCAGCAUCCUGGGCAUUGGGUUAUUUUCGAAUUCCCAACAGCCUAUGGGACAGACACAGCCUCUAUGCAAUGUGACUAGUCAGAAGUGUCAAAAACAUGGAAGAAGUGUAUGAUUCCAAGAAACCAGCAUAUCCUGUCCUGCCCUCCUGUGCCAGUGCCAUCUUCAGGGAGCUCUUCACACUGCUGCAGCCUGGCAUUUCUUUCUAAAACAAAGUCACACGACGUCACUUCCCUGCCUGGAUACUUCCGAUGGCUCCUCACUGCUUUCUGGAAGAGACUCAACACCCGAGACUGGCAGAAUCAGGCCUUCAUGACUCCAGUUUGCCUUGUUUGCAUCAUCUUUCACCAUGCUCCGUACAGCCCCACCAGAGUACCUGCCAUUUCUCAAAUGGCCGUCUCCUGCCUCUGUGCCUUUGCUCAUGCUGUUCCUACAGCUUGGAAAGUUCUUCUCUGUGCCACAUCCUUUAAGAGGACUAAAUGUCACCUCCUCUGAGAAGCUCUCCUUGAUUCAUCCUGGUAGGCAGCUGCUCCAUCUUUUGUGUUUUAUAUGCACUAGAGACUUAAAGCCAAAGUCAGGCACCCUCUACUCUGAUGAUAUGUUUACUUCUCUCCUUUUUAAAGGAAGAUGACAUUUUACAACCUCACAGUCUCGUGGAGUGCCCAGCACUGUGAAUAUUUAUUGACUGAAGGAAUAAAAUCUCAGCUGCUUUGAGUACCCAUGCCCCAGAACAAGGAGAAUCACUUUUAGCAGAGGAAAAUAAGGUCAGUUCUAUAGUAAUUAUUGAAUUGAAAUUGUGAAUCUAUUCCAAUUCUAUUGCUAUAUUAGGGAAUAAUUUGAGUGAAAUGUGAAUUUCACACUUAACAAAUACUAGGUGAACAGAAAUCUGCACCCAGCUGAAUGGAGCCACGUAGGAAUAUACUAAAUGCACCCAUGCAUGCACACACACAGCCUUCGAACAUUGCCAGCUACCUCAGUUCGCUGCAUGUGCGUAUAAGCUACAUCCAUGCACAUGUGGAGUCACGACUGUCCUGUUGAGUUCAGAUAAUCCCCCGUCCAUCACUUCACAAUAACUCACAAGGUACAACACUUCUGAUGCCCACUUCCUUAGGCAAACUUCAAGUUCAAGUGCCAUAUUUACUGUUGCACAGCAUUUAUGUAUUUCUUAGCCAUUUUACAGGUAUAGAACUCCGGUAAUGUUUUUAUUGGAUUCUUAUCUUUUUAAAAUGUGCCACUGAGGAAGUUUGUGAGUGUUAUAUCCUUAACCUUGGUUUUCCCACAAGUCCUGUGGUUUUUAUUGGUGAUUUUAGGAUGCGUAUGUUGGGUUAUACGGAACCAAUUGUGCAUGUGUGUUCAAAGACAGACACAACUGCCUCACAGGGGAACCCCAAAGAGCAGUUGCUCAGAGUGUUAUUAACCACAGAGUCUUUUCAUAAAUUUGUGCUUCAGGGGCUUAGGACUACAGCCCUAGAAACCUAAUCUAGGCUCUAAGAGCUUAAAAAACCAGCUGAGACCCCAAUUCCACAAUUCCAGAGAUUAACAGGCACCAACCUCUAGAUACUUUUUUUUUUAAUUUUAUUUUAUUUUAUUUUUUUUUACAUAUAUAAACACAAGUGUAUAGAUACUUUAACAAUCUCUCUCUCUCUCUCUCUUUCUCUCUCUCUCUCUCUCUCUCUGCCUUAAUUCUCCCAUGAUUCUGGGACAGUCAACUUUUGGGCCUUGCCAUUUUUGUCUGUAAAAUGGGCAUACAGAUCUCCCUUCAGCAGGCAGAAUGAUGAAUGGAUAAAAUAGUAUCAGAGAAGCACUGGGUUCUUCUGGGAGAGAAAAUGCUGGGUAAACAGAAGAGCAAAGUCAGCCACAAAAGCAUGACCAUAAUUGCUCUUUUAGUAAGAAGAGAGGAAGGAAAUGGAGACUCCUGGGCCAUGUGGGGCUCAGCUUGCUCCCCAUGUGGCCAUUGGCACUGAAGCCUGGGGGUUCCUUUCAUUGGUAUCCGUGAGCUGCACCCAGAGUCUGGUGGG